GCGUGGGUGAUGAAGCAUUGAGGUGCGUAAAGCCCUGUUAGGAGGGAAGAAUCUUCCGAAUUUUCGGAACUGACGGUACCUCCAGAGAAAGCUCCGGCUAACUCCGUGCCAGCAGCCGCGGUAAUACGGGGGGAGCAAGCGUUGUCCGGAUUUACUGGGCGUAAAGAGAGUGUAGGCGGGAAGAUAAGUCAGUGGUGAAAACUUGCGGCUCAACCGUAAGCGUGCUUCUGAUACUGUCUUUCUUGAGUACGGAAGGGGAAAGCGGAAUUCCUGGUGUAGCGGUGAAAUGCGU
rnacentral:rRNA from 1 species